GUGUUCGUGGUGCUGCUAGCUUGGCUACCUGCCCCCAGUUCCAGUCCUGGCGUCCCACAGCACCUGGUUUAUCUACCAAAGCAACAUUUUCCACCAAACUGACUGAAGGUCGUUUCUCAGACGAGAGAGAGAGAGAGAAGCUCCUGGUUUUCUGUGCACAGAGCUGGAGUACGUGUUGAGGAGCAGAGGGUUCAUCUCCAGACUGGACCAGAGUAAACCAGUGGGCACGGAGGAGAACGUCCGGAGUAAACAGCAUCAGCUUGAGAAAACAAACCGCCUCCAUCAUCCAUCGCACGGGGCGUUUGGAAGAGUUUUACGGCGAGUCUGAAAGCAGCUUGUAUGGGGUCACUGUCCAAAGCUAAGCUAAGAGUCUGCAGCACCAAAUCUCUGAAACCCAUCUUACUAACAUCUGCUCAUACCCCCAGCCUAAUAAAAACUCAAGAAUGCUGCUGGUCUGUGUGCUUUACUGCUUAUGGGGUUACUUCACUUUUUCCAUAUGCUGCAGCAAACGGCAGCUCGGACAAUUUGGCCGCGCGGGACACUCAAAGUUCAGCUUCCAACAGAUUUUGCCCCCCUCUCCAAACUGUGCAUGUGUCCAGCUGAAACUGCUGCUGCACACGUAUGCUCCACGGAGCACGACUAGCGUCUGGGCCUUUUCUG